rnacentral:tRNA from 1 species
CAGAAAAUAGUUUAUAAAAAUAUUAGUUUUGGAGAUUAAAGAAGAAAGAUUUUCUUUUCUGA